GACGAACGCUGGCGGCGUGCCUAAUACAUGCAAGUUGAGCGCUGAAGGUUGGUACUUGUACCAACUGGAUGAGCAGCGAACGGGUGAGUAACGCGUGGGGAAUCUGCCUUUGAGCGGGGGACAACAUUUGGAAACGAAUGCCAAUACCGCAUAAAAACUUUAAACACAAGUUUUAAGUUUGAAAGAUGCAAUUGCAUCACUCAAAGAUGAUCCCGCGUUGUAUUAGCUAGUUGGUGAGGUAAAGGCUCACCAAGGCGAUGAUACAUAGCCGACCUGAGAGGGUGAUCGGCCACAUUGGGACUGAGACACGGCCCAAACUCCUACGGGAGGCAGCAGUAGGGAAUCUUCGGCAAUGGACGAAAGUCUGACCGAGCAACGCCGCGUGAGUGAAGAAGGGUUUCGGAUCGUAAAACUCUGUUGGUAGAGAAGAACGUUGGUGAGAGUGGAAAGCUCAUCAAGUGACGGUAACUACCCAGAAAGGGACGGCUAACUACGUG
rnacentral:rRNA from 1 species